GGUUGUAUACAUGAUACAUGCAACUUAGGUUGUCUUUGAUUUCCAUUGUUUAGCAGCAAAAAAGUUACAAUAGCUUUUUUUUUUUUUUCUUGGGGAGCGUUAUUUGCAACUCAAUUAAGUUAAACAUCUUAUAUUGUUUGCUGCCUAGGAUUUCACAUGUAGUUAGAUAACAGACCUUCUAGGUACUGUUUGUAGUAGCUUAUUUUAUAGUCUCUGUUCAUCUUCCUUCUAUUCUGCAUACUGAAUGUUGUUCUUUGGCCUUUGCUUACUGCAGUUGCACGUUGGGAUGGGAUCGAAUUGCAUCCUCCUACUGUAGAAUCUGCCAACACUAGGAGUUUAAGCAUUGGCUAUGUUCUGGAUGAGUGGGAUGAGGAAUACGACCGUGGUAAAAGAAAGAAGCUAAGGAACCAAAAACACAGCUUUGGUGAACCAAAUCCUUUCCAAGAAAUCGCAACCAAGAAAACACAAUUCAAGAAGGCAAAGUUGAGCCACACGAGUUCCGGAGACCGACCAUUCAGGAUAUGAACAAACCAAUCCAUGUCCAUAGAGAGUGAGUAAUUUUGACCUGUGAGCCUUCUGUUAAAUGAUAAGUAAAUUUUUGUGUCUGGCAGCAAAACCAGUAACCCAGAAACACUCCAAACAUACCAAUAUUUUAGAAAGUUUUGGCCUUGCCUUUUCUGGGAUACGUUUGUUUGAGGUAUAGAACUUGGAGAUGAGCUUUUGUUUUAUUUUAUAACCUAAUUCUUCUUUGUGGGAACUGUAUGAACCAAAAGAGUAAUUUUCUUCAGAAUGUAAAAGCUAAAGAGCCAGGAGCCUUUUUUCUCCCCAUUUUUCUUUUCUGUAAUGCUAUAAAAUUUGUAUCCA